AGUUUUGGACUUCUUCAUUGCCUUGGUCUCCACUAGUUACUGAGCGCUACUGCAGGAGAAGAACAAUGUUGAUAACACACCAAUGUUUAUAGUUGCUGCUAAGCAGUGUCGUACAAAGCUAAGGCCAUUUGCAAUGAAGGGCCCAAGGAUCUGGGAGGGAACAGAAUCAGGACAGCUGACUUAACUGGCUGAAGAGAUAUUACGUAUCAUAUGACAUAAAAGAGAAGGAAUUUUGAAGGUGGUGGAAAUUCAUUUGUCUCUUCGGCUGCUUGGGGGGCUAUCUGGACGCCAGCUGAGGAGUGUGUGAAAAUGAAGAAUCUGGCUGCAGUUCAGACUGUCAAUCAAACUAUAUCCGCAGACCACAGCAGUGAAGAAGAGAAGGAAAAGAAAACCAAAACCACAGACAAAACAAAGAAAUCAAAACCAAAAGAGCAGAGCAGAGGUAAACCCACAGAAGUCUAGAUUUGAAGUCUUACAGGUUUGAGCAUAUUUUUUUCUUUUCUAAAGACUCAUGAAUCACUAGUAUGGUAUAUUUUCAUUACAUCUGGGUCAACCAAGGCAGGUAUGAAGUAGGAAAUGGCUGGGAUAAAAUGAGAAAGUUCCAGGGUAAACUGUCCUCAACAAGACUUCUCUAGAGAGAAUGCCAAGACACCUGCAUGGCAGGUGGAAACUAAAUGUGUAAAACGAAGAUAAUCAAAGACCAUACCAGAGAUCAUGCCCCUAAUUCAGUUGGAAGUCAGGGCAGAUCUGAUUCCCACCCACAUUAGAAAAUCUGCUAAAUGAUCAGCAUCUGCAUAAUGUAGAAAAAGAGCUUUUCAAACUGUCUUUGAAAAGCAGUUAGAGACAAAAUGAGUUUCCGAAAACCAAAGGCUAUAGACUAUAUUCUAUAGUCAAGAUCUACCAACAAUUGUACAAGAUAUGAUGAGUUGAGGUGAUUAAGAUUACAAAGAACAGAAAUAAAUGCUGCUUUUGAAAAUGUAUGAAGAUACAAGGACUAAACAGGAUGAUUAUGAUGGAUCACGUAGAAGUUGUUUUGACUUUUAACAUUUCCCCUCAGCACUUCUCAGUGAGAUGGCUACAGCUUAAGAAAAAUCAGACAGCAUCUAUCCUGCUUUGAAAGAAUGAUCCACAGUGUCCUCACAUGUUCCCAACAUAUAAGCAAAUUGCAGACACUCUGUGUGGGUAGCCUUUUUGAGAGUGGCCACUGUCUUGCCUAAGCCCAUGAAAUGUCGUUGUGAUUUAAUUCAACAGGCAGCAAAGCACUACACUGCUGUUCACUCACUUCCCCUCCCUCCCAGCGGGAUGGGGAAUGAAUUGGGAAAAAAAGUAGAACUCACAGGUUGUGUUAAAAACUAUUUACUAGAACAGAAAAGAAAGAGAUAAAUAAUAGUAAUGAUAAUACAUAUGUAUAUAUAUUUACAAAACAAGUGAUGCACAAGGCAAUUGCUUACCACCUGUCAACCAAUGCCCAGACAGCCCCCAGGCAGCAACUGCCUGCUCAGUCUAUUUCUGACCAUUUUUCAAGUUUUUUCCUUGUGGUGUCCUACAGUACAGAAUAUCCCUUUGGCCAGAUUCAGUAAGUUGUCCCAGUUCUGUCCCCUUCCAGAUCCUUAUGCUCCCCUAAUCCCCUUGCUGUUAGAACAGUACAAGAAACUGAGGAAUCUGAAACAUCCUUGGCAUUGCUCAGCAUAAACUAGAAUAUUGGUGUGCUAUCAACAUUGUUUUCCCGUUAAGACCAAAGCAUAGCACAAAACAUAGCAUCUUACCAAACACUAUG
ensembl:lncRNA